UAUAUUCUGCCCCAGGGAAGGAUGAGAAGCUUCGACUAAGGUUCGACUCGAGCGAAGCGAGAGAACGUUGCCGCAGGCAACGGCCCGAAGGGCGAGGCGCUUUAGCGCCGAGUAAUCCUUCCCCCACCACCA
rnacentral:sRNA from 1 species